rnacentral:rRNA from 1 species
GACGAACGCUGGCGGCGUGCCUAAUACAUGCAAGUCGAGCGCAGGAAGCCGUCUGAACCCUUCGGGGGGACGACGGUGGAAUGAGCGGCGGACGGGUGAGUAACACGUAAAGAACCUGCCCAUAGGUCUGGGAUAACCACGAGAAAUCGGGGCUAAUACCGGAUGUGUCAUCGGACCGCAUGGUCCGCUGAUGAAAGGCGCUCCGGCGUCGCCCAUGGAUGGCUUUGCGGUGCAUUAGCUAGUUGGUGGGGUAACGGCCCACCAAGGCGACGAUGCAUAGCCGACCUGAGAGGGUGAGCGGCCACACUGGGACUGAGACACGGCCCAGACUCCUACGGGAGGCAGCAGUAGGGAAUCUUCCACAAUGGACGAAAGUCUGAUGGAGCAACGCCGCGUGAACGAUGAAGGCUUUCGGGUCGUAAAGUUCUGUUGUAAGGGAAGAACAAGUGCCGCAGGCAAUGGCGGCACCUUGACGGUACCUUGCGAGAAAGCCACGGCUAACUACGUGCCAGCAGCCGCCGCGG